CCGUCCCGUCCGUCGUAAGUAUCAGAGGAGGAUUCUGUGAUCACUAAGGAGGAUUUUUUGCAGCGAAGCCAUGCUCAGAAGAGCUACUACUCAUCCAACAACUGGUUGUAGUUGGGCGGCAACAGCAUGGAUCAAGACUGGAAGUCAAGUGCAUUGAUC